rnacentral:rRNA from 1 species
AGAGUUUGAUCCUGGCUCAGGAUGAACGCUGGCGGCGUGCCUAAUACAUGCAAGUCGAGCGAACGGACGAGAAGCUUGCUUCUCUGAUGUUAGCGGCGGACGGGUGAGUAACACGUGGAUAACCUACCUAUAAGACUGGGAUAACUUCGGGAAACCGGAGCUAAUACCGGAUAAUAUUUUGAACCGCAUGGUUCAAAAGUGAAAGACGGUCUUGCUGUCACUUAUAGAUGGAUCCGCGCUGCAUUAGCUAGUUGGUAAGGUAACGGCUUACCAAGGCAACGAUGCAUAGCCGACCUGAGAGGGUGAUCGGCCACACUGGAACUGAGACACGGUCCAGACUCCUACGGGAGGCAGCAGUAGGGAAUCUUCCGCAAUGGGCGAAAGCCUGACGGAGCAACGCCGCGUGAGUGAUGAAGGUCUUCGGAUCGUAAAACUCUGUUAUUAGGGAAGAACAUAUGUGUAAGUAACUGUGCACAUCUUGACGGUACCUAAUCAGAAAGCCACGGCUAACUACGUGCCAGCAGCCGCGGUAAUACGUAGGUGGCAAGCGUUAUCCGGAAUUAUUGGGCGUAAAGCGCGCGUAGGCGGUUUUUUAAGUCUGAUGUGAAAGCCCACGGCUCAACCGUGGAGGGUCAUUGGAAACUGGAAAACUUGAGUGCAGAAGAGGAAAGUGGAAUUCCAUGUGUAGCGGUGAAAUGCGCAGAGAUAUGGAGGAACACCAGUGGCGAAGGCGACUUUCUGGUCUGUAACUGACGCUGAUGUGCGAAAGCGUGGGGAUCAAACAGGAUUAGAUACCCUGGUAGUCCACGCCGUAAACGAUGAGUGCUAAGUGUUAGGGGGUUUCCGCCCCUUAGUGCUGCAGCUAACGCAUUAAGCACUCCGCCUGGGGAGUACGACCGCAAGGUUGAAACUCAAAGGAAUUGACGGGGACCCGCACAAGCGGUGGAGCAUGUGGUUUAAUUCGAAGCAACGCGAAGAACCUUACCAAAUCUUGACAUCCUUUGACAACUCUAGAGAUAGAGCCUUCCCCUUCGGGGGACAAAGUGACAGGUGGUGCAUGGUUGUCGUCAGCUCGUGUCGUGAGAUGUUGGGUUAAGUCCCGCAACGAGCGCAACCCUUAAGCUUAGUUGCCAUCAUUAAGUUGGGCACUCUAAGUUGACUGCCGGUGACAAACCGGAGGAAGGUGGGGAUGACGUCAAAUCAUCAUGCCCCUUAUGAUUUGGGCUACACACGUGCUACAAUGGACAAUACAAAGGGCAGCGAAACCGCGAGGUCGAGCAAAUCCCAUAAAGUUGUUCUCAGUUCGGAUUGUAGUCUGCAACUCGACUACAUGAAGCUGGAAUCGCUAGUAAUCGUAGAUCAGCAUGCUACGGUGAAUACGUUCCUGGGUCUUGUACACACCGCCCGUCACACCAUGAGAGUUUGUAACACCCGAAGCCGGUGGAGUAACCUUUUAGGAGCUAGCCGUCGAAGGUGGGACAAAUGAUUGGGGUGAAGUCGUAACAAGGUAGCCGUAUCGGAAGGUGCGGCUGGAUCACCU